AGAGCCCAAGCAGGGGAGGGGCACAGGGAGAGAGAGGGGACACAGGAUCCAAAGCCGGCUCUGCACAGACAGCAGAGGGCCCGGCGCGGGGCCCGAACCCACGAACCGUGAGAUCAUGACCUGAGCCAAAGGCAGAUGCUUCACCGACUGAGCCACCCAGGGGCUCCGGGACUCCCUUCCGAGUCCCCACGGCUGCUGACAAUUCAGUCCCUCGUGGCCUGUUGGACUGAGGGCUUCGAUUUCUUGCUGUGUUGUUGGCUGGCUUCCAUUCCUUGCUGUGUGGGCCUCCCCAGCACGGCCGCGCGUGUCCUUGAAGCAGCCAGAGAGCGUCUGCUAUCCAGAUGGGUGCUGCCGUCUUAUGCAACAUAAUCAGAGAAGUGACAUCACGUCACCUGUGCCGUAUCCCGCAGGGCACAGUCGUCCCACUUAAGAAGAAGGGAAGACACGGGUGUGAACAGCAGAAGGCAAGAAUCGCUCAGGAUAUUGUCAGAGUCUGUCCGCCAACGCUUCUCAAAGGAAGAGCUCCCUGUGCAAACCCACCUUUUCCCCAGUGGUCAAGUUGUCACUGAACAAACACAGCGGACUUCAAGCUGACUUUCAGAAAUUCACAGACAAGUUACGGGAACCCAAACAUGGCUUUACAGAUUCAGGAGUGCAAGUGGUUCAAACCAACAUACAAUGGCUUGCUUAUUCAGACACACCAUCAGCUUUACCCACUUUCGUGAAAAGAGGACCCAAACUCAGAAUUUGGCUCACUAGUGUCUGAUUCGACAGCCUGCACCAAGCUGGUUUCACAGCUCCGUGGUAUCCCCAGAUUUCCAGCAGAGAUGAUGACUUUGAGAUUCAUGUGUAGUCUUCCGGGCUUAAAAACAAAAAACCGGGGCACCUGGGUGGCUCAGUCAGUUAAGGGUCGGACUCCUGAUCUCAGCUCAGGUCAUGAUCUCACCUUUCAUGAGUUCGAGCCCCACAUUGGGCUCUGUGCUGACGGUGGGGAGCCUGCUUGGGAUUCUCUCUUUUUCCUUCUCUCUCUGUCCCUCCCCUACUUGUGCGUGCCCUCUCUCUCAAAAUAAAUAAAUAAACUUAAAAACAAACAAA